UACGUAGGGGGCAAGCGUUGUCCGGAUUUAUUGGGCGUAAAGAGCGUGUAGGCGGCUUUACAGGUCCGUUGUGAAAACUCGAGGCUCAACCUCGAGACGCCGGUGGAAACCGUAAGGCUAGAGUCCGGAAGAGGAGAGUGGAAUUCCUGGUGUGAGCGGUGAAAUGCGCAGAUAUCAGGAGGAACACCCGUGGCGAAAGCGGCUCUCUGGGACGGUACUGACGCUGAGACGCGAAAGCGUGGGGAGCAAACAGG
rnacentral:rRNA from 1 species